CUGGUUUGCCCCUUCCUGAGUGUCCAGGAAGUCAGCCUUGUCGCUGGGCCUUGCCCGCCAGGCAGCCGGGAUGCGGCCGACGGGGGCGGGGGGCGCGUGCUGUUCGCAACCUGAGAGAUUAAGGACAUGAUUCUGAGGGUCAGAGUCGGGGGCACGCAGGCUGAGGCAGAGGCUGGCAUCACAGCAGCUUGGAGGGCGCGCCACGGAAGGCCCUUCCCGGGAGCAGGGACCAGCAGGGCUUGGAUCGCGCCGGCCCGUCUCUCGGACCCCAUUUCUCUCUUGUGCUGCCUUCACGGACAGCCUCCACAAAGACGCCGCCUUGCGCUGUGUUCGUGUUGGCCGUGGCCUAACGGGCUGACACCUGUCGGGAGUUGAUGCGUAUUUGCCUGGGAGACCACCCUCGUCACUUUCUGGAAUCCCUCGUAGACCGGGGACAGACGGCCUACGGACACCCUGCAGCUCCUCCCCCAGCUCCCUGCACACGUUGUCAGCCGUCUCCUGACGUCAGCCUCUCUCGCACGUGCUGCGCCCCC